AUGGGAUUAACUCUUCCCAUGCAUAUAUGUAUAUAUAAAUAUUGCUGCUAUUUGAGCUCUGGAUUUUCUGGCCUUUGGUGCCUUUUCAAGUUCUAGUAGCAUAACAAAAAAGCAUAGUAAGUUAGAAAAUCUUUUUUAAGUCAGGGAAGCAGGAAUUCUUCAAGUUCUUGAACAAUUAACCUGCAAAAUUGUCUGAUUUUAGUAUGAGCAUGUUGAAUAUAAAUAGUUAAAUACAGAAACAAAAAAGCUAUCUCCUCUUGCUCUUCAGCUCACCAACGAAGAAGGGAGUGACAUGCCUUAGUAUCGAUACAGAUCAUCAAAGAUUGAAUAACUGUUACUAUUUAAGGUUUUUGCUUCCUAUUCAGCUGCCACUUCCUCAAGGAUAGAUUUUGUCUUACCUUUCCUGGCCUUUGGUGCCUUUUCAGCCUGCAAUGAGGAGAAGUCUCAAUUAUAAUUGAAGAAAUAAAAAAUGUUACAAUGAAAGUACUUGUUUGCCUUGCUUAUGAGAUUCUCAAAUGCUUCUGGCCCAUUCUCCUUAAUAAGUCUCUCUGCAGCUUGUAGGGCAUUGUCUGAUUUACCGACGAUGUCCUUUUUGCGUGGUACAUACCAGAUAUUAAUCUUUCUUGUGGUUAAUUUUGCUCCUGUAAGAUGGAUGUUGCAAUCUUUAAACCGUGGAUAAUAUAUGAAACACUAACUAAUUGCUGAUUGUUGAUAUAUAAAUUUAUGCUUGCAAAUUUAAACAUCACUCCCAAGCCCUUGUCACUUCUUGAGAGAGCCAUUUAUGCUUGCAAAUUCUCAGUGAACGUCAAUUAAAAAUGCAGGUGGAAAGCUUGUUUACCAAUACGCCAAGAAGAGGGCGAGUGAGCCAAAGUGCCUAGUAACAGGAAAAAGAAUUCAAGGAGGUACCUGUGGAUCCUCUUGAAUGGCAGAUUUCUCAGGAUGCAGCCAAUAGCAUUUUCGCCUGCCUGGCUAAUACAAUUGGGGCAGCUGAAUCUGUCUUGAGGGUCGCUCAAACAGGCCAUGACAAAAGGCUAUUCUUUAAGG